CGUAGGCUGCUAAUUCAAAAUAGAGUUAAAGACUGAGGUAGGCCCUCUUUCAGCUGUAUUUACUGAUUAGCUGAGUUCUAAAGGGAUAUAUUGAAUUCCUUAAGUAAGGGUUAAAUUGUUGAUAUUGGAAGACAUUCGAAAGCGAAAGCAUUUAUCGAUUUAGAUCUGACGCUAGGUACUAAAGUAUGGGUAUGAAGAGGAUUAGAGACCUUGUAGUCCAUACCUUAAACUAUGAGUGUUCAACGUCCUUUUGUAGUGGAACUUUGAAUUUUUAUUUAGAGAACCGUGGUACUCAAGGGGGUUUAAAGCUAACGCGUGAAACACCGCCUGGGGAAUGUGGCCGCAAGGUUAAACUCAAAGGAAUUGAGGAGGCUUGUACAAAG
rnacentral:rRNA from 1 species